AUUGAACGCUGGCGGCAGGCCUAACACAUGCAAGUCGAGCGGAUGAAGGGAGCUUGCUCCUGGAUUCAGCGGCGGACGGGUGAGUAAUGCCUAGGAAUCUGCCUGGUAGUGGGGGAUAACGUCCGGAAACGGGCGCUAAUACCGCGUACGUCCUGAGGGAGGAAGUGGGGGAUCUUCGGACCUCACGCUAUCAGAUGAGCCUAGGUCGGAUUAGCUAGUUGGUGGGGUAAAGGCCUACCAAGGCGACGAUCCGUAACUGGUCUGAGAGGAUGAUCAGUCACACUGGAACUGAGACACGGUCCAGACUCCUACGGGAGGCAGCAGUGGGGAAUAUUGGACAAUGGGCGAAAGCCUGAUCCAGCCAUGCCGCGUGUGUGAAGAAGGUCUUCGGAUUGUAAAGCACUUUAAGUUGGGAGGAAGGGCAGUAAGUUAAUACCUUGCUGUUUUGACGUUACCAACAGAAUAAGCACCGGCUAACUUCGUG
rnacentral:rRNA from 1 species